CGGAGGAGGAGGAGGACAUGCGGUGGUGCUUCAAAUCCUUGAUCCCAAGCCAGAGAUUCGUGCAGUCUUCAGAUAUAAAUAUCUCUAAUUUGGGUUCUAAUUUGCGUGGAUGCAUCUCCCAUGAAUGAACAUGAUAUGAUUAGCUUCAAUAUCCAAAAAGAUCCCUGCAUUGUCAGGCAAGGCGAGUUAUGACGAUAAUGUGAGAUGGAAUUGAAAGUGAGCAGACAUACAGUGUGGUACUCUAGCCAUAAAGUUUGAUGGAAA